UGCUGUGGUAUUUUGACUUAUACAAAGGUAUUGUAAUAAGGCUUUAAUUGAGCGCUAAGAGAAUGGAUUUUCAAAAAAAUUCUUUUUUGAAUUUAAAAAUUGAAGUUAUUUUUAUUUGUGAAGAAACAACAAUAAAAAUUAAAGACAAGAAGACCCUAUGAAUUUUUUUUAAAACAUAAUUAAUAUUAUAAUUGUGUCUUAAUUAAUUGGGGCGAUUAAAAAAAAUUAUAAACUUUUUAUAAAAAUAAAAUGAUCCACAAAUUGUGAUUUUAUGAAAUAAAUACUCUAGGGAUAACAGCGUAAUAAUUUUAGAUAGAUCAUAUAGAAAAAAUAGUUUGCGACCUCGAUGUUGGAUUAG
rnacentral:rRNA from 1 species